ACAGCUCCGCGGUAGUAAGCACUGGUAAUGGCACGGUACCUAUUACAAACACACAAUUUGAGUCAUAGAAUCAUUUCGGUAACCAUUUCAGUGUGGUAUUACAUUAUACUUUUUAGUGCACUGCAUCUCAAAUUUAGAACCUACUCUGUUUCAUCAUUUGACAUUUUAUUGAAUAGAAAUUGAAUGCUGCCAUUUCUUUUUCCUUAACAGAAUUUAUGGGGUAAAAAAAGAAGUCUAGAAAGAAGUAAGAUUCCAUCAAGCUCCUCAUCUACAAACAAGGUUGACAGUUACACAGUGAACCUCCAAGGGAAAUGUACAUGGAAAAUAUAGAAGGAAUUCAGAAAGUUUUAUAAGAAUUUAACAGUUAUCAACUGUAAUGUAGUUAAAAUAUUGUACCUGUUGUAGAUUACAACCUUUUGGUAUGGUACAUACACUUCGCGCAAACAAAUAAGAUAGCGACAGAACACGUGAGUUUUCUACUUUUCUUCUGAAUUUGGAGCAUAAAAGAAUUAUAACUUUAAGGUAAAAAAUUAGUACACCAAGUUCCAC
rnacentral:lncRNA from 1 species